UGCCCGGUGGUGUAUCGUCAACACGUCCUCUUAUUAUAGAUAAUGUCGUUGUAGUCUCGAGGAAAUGCCCCGUUCGACUCGGGGUCGGGCCU